UGGGCCGGCGAGUCUCAGGGGGAGAAGUUAGGUGGUCCGGUCAGCUGUUAAUGGGGGGAAAAAACUGGGACUGAGCUUUGACAGGUAGGGAAACAAUACAGUGUGUCUGGUAAUGAAGAGGAGGAAGGGGAAUACAGAAAUGGCUGGAGGGUGCCUUUUUCAUUGCCAGGUCCUUUCCUUGGCUGUUUACUACCUUACCGCCACCCCCCACCCCACCCCGAGAACUUUCUCACCGAUUUUGGAGAAACUCUGAGGAAUGUUGUUUGUGCUUUGAACUACAAUAGCACCCCUCCACAUACCAGCACAGAUAAUAAGUACUGUGAAGUAGGCCUUCGGUAAUUUACAGCAGUCUGUGUUAUCUUUACCACCGCACUGUUUCCUCUACUAAAACAUCUAACUGUGAUGAGGAAGAGGCUUUUAUUUUCUUUAAGAAUCACUUAGCUUUUUCAACAGAAUCUUUUGUCUCUGAAUAGCAUCCACAUUUUUUAUAUUGCUGAAAUAAAUUGUUUUCUUCCUGAAGUGUGGAAGAGAGAUUUGAUAUCGCUUUAUAAGAAUCAUACAUUUAACAGCAGCUACGAUUAGACUUUUUUGGAGUCAGAAAAACCUUUAGAGAUCUGGUGUGACUCGUUUUAAAACUGGGACUCUAGACCCAGGGAGGUGAGUGAGUUGCUGUGGGUCUUACUGCUGUGAGGAGCAAGCUCAAAACUAGGACCGAGCCCUUUAGAGAACUCUACACUGCUGAGCUCAGUCUUCAUUGAAUUCUUCACCACCACUACCAAUUCCAGUCCUAGGUUUUUAUGCAGUAAAGUUGAAAGCAGAAAGGAGAGCUCCUGCUCUGAUUAUGACCUUAAAUAACUGAUGAAGACCCCCUCCCCGACCUGAAUCUAUUAAAAAUGGAGUGACAUUUGGGCUUGGGUUGUGGCUCAGUGAUAGAGGGCUUGCCUAGCACACAAGAGGCAUAAAAAUAAAUAAAUAGAGAUAUUAUGUCCAUCUACACUUUUAAAAAAAUGGAGAGACAUUUAAUUUGGAGUUUUCAUAGGCCCGUGACUACAUUCUAUUUCAUCUUUCAUCCUACAUUCUAUUUCAUCUUUCAUCCAAAUGUAGCACGGCUCCUCUUGCAUGAAUUCAGUAAAGCCUACAGGUCACUAUUAUGUCCACAAAACCUAACUAGUAUAUUGUUCUGUGUCCCAACACCAGCAUUUGAACAAGUUCUUUGUCUCUGACUCUUAAUUUUAGGAUUUAAAAUACCUGUGGUUGUUUUCCAAAUUAUACUGCCUACUUUCUGUCUUUUUGGACCACAGCAAUUUUAUUUAUAGUGUGGGUACAGGCAAACCUUCAGAAUUACAAUAAAACCAAGUGAUUCUGAUUUCAUAUUCUAGUUGCUGAAACACGUCCAAAAUUACACAGGUGAUUCUUGAAAGUCUCCUUUGUGUUUUGCAUUACAUUAGCACUGUGGGAUGAAGGAAAGGAGUACAAUAGAAAGAUUUUUGCCCCCAGAUUCUUGUUGGAAAGAUAAGAUGUACCUACGGAAAUCUAGAAGACAGCCUAGUGAGUUCUGCUUAUACAAAAAAUGUGGGUAUUCAGAGGAGAGGGAGAUUGAGUGAGCCUUCAGGAGUAUAAAGAACUUCCUGGAAGGAUUGCAAGUUUAAAGCCAGCCUCAGCAACUUACUGAGACCAUAUCUCAAAAUAAAAAAUUAAAAAGAGCUGGGGAUGUGGCUCAGAAGUCAGUGAAGUGUCUUUGGGUUCAAUCCUUGGUACCAUUAUUAAAAAAAAAAAAAAAAAAAGAUGGGGCUGGGUUGUGGUUCAGUGAUAGAGUGCUUGCUUCACAUUUGUGAGGCACUGGGUUCAAUUCUCAGCACUACAUAUAAAUAUGUGAAUAAAAUAAAGGUCCAUCAACACUAAAAAAAAAAAAAAAAAAGAAAAAAAAAAACUUCCUGGAACACUUGAGACUUGAAUUGACCAAUGAAAAUUUAUAGGGAAAAACAGGACUAUAAAUUGAAGAUUAGUUUGGGGAGGGGAAUAGAGGGAAACUAAGAUGAAUUUCCUUUGGAGAAUGUUUUCCAUAAGGACAUUAGACAGUUGGAAUGUUAUCUGCUUGUAGAAAGGUUUGAAUGCUAAAUUGAGAUUUGGUUUUUUAUUCUCUUGCGCAAGGCAUAGAGAACUUUUGAAAGUUUGGAGGCCAGAAAUUAAUGUGAUAAACAGCAAAGUGAACUUAUCAAUGAUCUAUAGGUUGAGUUAGAAUGAAGAGAGAAUGGAAUGAACUGGGGAAGGCAAUAGCUGGCUGUUGAGUUACCUACCUAUGAGUAGAUAAGAUCCUAAACUAGAGUAAAGUAAGUAGGAAGGAUUGUAUAGCAAGUAUGUAUAUACAUGUGUGAAUACUUACUGUGUAAAAUACAUAUAACAUAAAAUUUAAUCAUUUAGUCACUGAAAGUUGUAUAGUUCUAUGCAUUUAUACAUUCACAUCACUAUGCACCCAUUACUCCCAUCCAUCUGCAAAAUCCUUUUUAUGGGGGGGUAUGCUGGGAAUGGAACCCAGGGCCCCACACAUGCUUAGCAUGCACUGUACCACUGAAUUAUACUCCCAGAUCCCGUCUGCAGGAUUCUUUCCGUCUUCUUAAACUGAAAUCUGAACUCGGUAAACACUUCGUUACUCCUACCCCCUGACAGCCACCAUUCUACCCUCUGUCUCUGUGAAUUUAGCUACUCCAGGUAUCACAUGUAAGUAGAAUCAUGAAAUCAUGAGUAUUUAUGACUGGCUUAUUUAACUUAACAUCACAUCUUCAAGUUCCAUCCAUGUUGUGGCAUGUAUCCAAAUUUCCUUUCUUGUUUCUUUUUGGUACUGGGAAUUGAACCCAGGGGCACUUAACCACUGAGCUACAUUCUUAGCCCUUUUAUAUAUUUUAUUUACAGACAUGGUCUUGCUAAGUUGCUGAGGCUGGCUUUGAACUCACAAUCCUUCUACCUCAGCCUCCUGAGCGCUGGGAUUAUAGGUAUGCGCCACCACACCCAGCUCCUCCCAUUUUAAGGAUGAAUGAUAUCUAUUUUGUGUAUAUACUGCAUUUUGUUUAUUUAUUUGCCCGAUGAGAACACUUGAAUUGCUUCUAGUUUUGACUGUGUAUUAUGACUGUGUAUUAUGAACAUGGAUAUAAAAAAUCUGUUCAAGACCCUGUUUUGACCGGGCUCAGUGGCACAUGCCUGGAAUCCCAGUGGUUUGGGAGUCUGUGGCAGGAGGAUUGUGAGUUCAAAGCCAGCCUCAGCAUUUUAGUGAGGCCCUAAGUAACUCAGCAAGACCCUAUCUCUAAAUAAAAUAGAAAAAUGGCUUGGGAUGUGGCUCAGUUUAAAUGCCCCUGAUUUCAGUCCCCUAGUACAAAAAACAAACAAAUGACCCUGUUUUCAUUUCUUUUGGGUAUAAUACCAGGAAAAAUUUAUCAUUCCCACCAGCAGUGCACAAGGAUUCCAUUCUAGCCAUAUCCUGGCCAACUCUUGGGGGGUUUUUUUUUGUUUGUUUGUUUUUGUUUUCCUUUUUGAUACGCCUUCCUAAUGAGUGUGAAGUAGUAUCUCACUAUGGUUUUGAUCUGCAUUUCACUAAUGAUUAGUGUGUUGAGCAUCUUUUCCUGUAUUUAUUACCUUUUUGUGUAUCUCCUUUGGAAAAAUAAUUUUUUACCCAUUU
rnacentral:lncRNA from 1 species